AUGUUUGAUGGAAUUGAUCAGAUGCUUCGGGGAGUCAGGCAUGUGCCAGGGCUAAGGAGGAAUCUAAUUUUGCUUGGUGUUCUUCAUGAUGGUGGUAUGGAAUUCUGUUGUGAUCGAGAUAAGAAGACCGUGAAAAUCAUGGAAGAUGGGGUGACUAUGAUGAUAGGAGAGAGGACGGCUUCGCAUCUUUACAAGUUGCAAGGGAGCACUAUUGUCGAUGGAGCCAUGGAGAGUGGAGCUACAGGAGUAGCAGUGGAGUCACGGUGGCGGCGGGUCUGGCCCGUCGGGUAG
rnacentral:rRNA from 1 species